rnacentral:rRNA from 1 species
AACGAACGCUGGCGGCAGGCUUAACACAUGCAAGUCGAGCGCAACCUUCGGGGUUUGCGGCGGUCGGGUGAGUAACGCCGGGGAACGUACCCGCUUCUACGGAAUCGUCUCGGGAAACUGAGAUUAAUGCCGCAGACGCCCGCAACGGGAAAGAGUUAUCGGAGGAGGGUCGGGCCGCGUAGGAUUAGGUAGUUGGUGGUGUAACGGCCUACCAUCCCGACGUUCCCUAGCUGGUUGGUGAGGAUGACCCGCCAGACUGGGACUGCGACCCGGCCCAGAAUCGUACGGGAGGGAGCAGUGGGGAAUCUUGGAAAAUGGGGGCAACUCUGAUCCAGCCACGCGGCGUGAUCGAUGAAGGGGUUAGGGUUGUAAAGAUGUUUCAGAUGGGAAGAUAAUGACGGUACCAGCAGAAGAAGCCCCGGCUAACUACGUG